CUCCUUUUAUGCAGUGCUCCCAUGCAAGGGAGACACCCACAGGCAAUUAUACAGUGACCAAUCAAAGAAUGGUUACAACCCACAAAGUCCCUCUCCUCUGCUUGGGAGAUAAUUGAGUUUCUAACUGUAUCUACUCAAUUAUCUCCAAGCUAAAAAAAUUAUACUUUUUAUACAUUCUCAUAACUUUCUUAUUUUAAAUGGUACAUGAAUUUAUGAACAGUACAACUUGGGGAACAAUAUAUUAAAAAUUUGUGUAAAUCCGUUCAGUGGUUUGGGAGAUAGUAAAAAGUCCCUUGAACCGACCGCACGCCUCUGAGUAUGCCCAAAAUCAGUUCUACAGAUUCAGGUUGUGCGGUCGGUCUAUCUUUCGUUCGACAAAACUCCCUAUUUGCACGAACAGAUUCGUGCUUAGACUCAUUGAAUACAUCUAGUUCGGGAGUUUAUUUUACCGAAAGAGCACUCUGUUCUGAUGGAUUUAGCCGAACGCGCGGAGGAUGAAAGUUUCAGCUGUGUUCGCGUAAAAGUCUAGCCGAAAUGAGUUCCACGCGGUCGACGACCAAACACCGCCGACCAUCCAGUCUAUCAAUUAAACCCAUGGAGGGUUUGUGGUUUUCACGGUGUUCUUACAGUCAGGGAGAUAAAUGAGUGGCACACUUCUGUUCUGGGUGGUCGGCCGUUCAGUACAAAAUUCGGUAUUCGAACGUUCUUAUAUUGUAUCUCUAUUACAUAAAAGCCAUUAUACGAACAGUCUUUGUCUAUUAAGUGCGGGAUAAAGUGAGGAAGGGCAAGAAAAUGGUGAAGGUUCCCAGGCACAUUGUAGGGAUAUGUUACAUGAUUAUUUGGUUGUAUAUAGCCACAUCUCCAAGCAAUAUAACCAAUACUGAACAUUAGUGAUAUC